rnacentral:rRNA from 1 species
AGGGCACCACCAGGAGUGGAGCCUGCGGCUUAAUUUGACUCAACACGGGGAAACUUACCCGGCCUGGACACUGGAAGGAUUGACAGAUUGAGAGCUCUUUCUUGAUUCAGUGGGUGGUGGUGCAUGGCCGUCCUUAGUUGGUGGAGCGAUUUGUCUGGUUAAUUCCGAUAACGAACGAGACUCUAGCCUAUUAAAUAGGCUCUCGGCUUUUAAACGCCGGGAGGACUUCUUAGAGGGACAGGUGGCGGUUCAGCCGCACGAAAGAGAGCAAUAACAGGUCUGUGAUGCCCUUUGUUGUCCGGGGCCGCACGCGCGCUACACUGAAGAGAUCAGCGUGCUUUACGUUCCUGCUCCGACCGGAGUGGGGAACCCAGUGAACCUUCUUCGUGAUUGGGAUAGAAGAUUGUAAUUAUUCUUCUUGAACGAGGAAUUCCCAGUAAAUGCGAGUCAUAAGCUCGCGUUGAUUACGUCCCUGCCCUUUGUACACACCGCCCGUCGCUACUACCGAUUGAACGAUUU